UUGCUUUGAGGGUCAAUAUUCGAAGGCUUCAUUUUUCCCUUUUGCACGCAUCGAGCUAGGGCAGAGCAAAGAGAGAAAUCACCCAAAAGCUAGGGCUUGCUCGAGAAAAGAAGCGAGAGAGCGAAGCAAGUUGAAAAGCUGGAGCGCAUCGCCUGCCCGGAGAAGAUGACCGGAGCUGACCGGUGAGAAAGAAGAGCUGACCGGAUCUGCCACGUGCAGAGGAUCAGAUGACUGGAGAUGGAGCUCGCGAGGAAAGAACGGUGACCGUCCGAUGGCCGUGGUGAUCGCGAUUGCGCCUCUUUCGGUACUCUUCGUUUCUCAUUAAUAAAGUUUCUUUUAUAUUGA